ACAGCGUGUCACCAGAGAGGAAAAGAAUAUCCUUGCUGUGCCAAGAAAGAAAAGACCAUGGAUCUACUAGUUGCAGAUUUCAGCAGUAAUGCCAAGGGGGCAAGAAGUGACCAGCAGAACAAUUAGGCCAUGGCAACAGAAGCCAACUACAACCCAUGUUCCAAUCUAUGACCUCCCUCUCCUGCUGGUACAAGGAUAUGAUCUGGAGUCUGGGAAGUUCAAGAGCAUGGCACCAACAUCUGGCAAGGGCUUUCAUUCUGCAUCAUCUCAUGGAGGAAAAUAAAAAGGAGGCUGGAUGCUCCUGUGAAGUACGUCUUUUAUCUACUUGCUAUCUUUGCAAUUCCUUCAUGCUACAAUGAGAGAUAGAGUUUAAACCUGAAAACAUUCUUGGAAAAGGAAUCUUCAUUAAUUCAAAUAUACCACAAGAUUCACCACCAUCACUACUCUAAGUAUUUUUCUUCUUGAGAAAGAGAAGGAGAGGGAAAGCAAGGAAGAGGAAGAGAAAGAGAAAUGGAUAAAAACAUGGUCAAGUAGAAGAGUCUGUGUGUCUUCCAGAGUCCUCACGAGUAUCAGAGAAGGCAUAAUCUGUACACGUGGCUUCAUUUAAAAUGAAAAUAUCAAGCAGUGUCAUUUUCACAAGUAUCCCCACACUGUCUGAGGCUGAAAAGAAGAGUGUAGCUAUGCACACUGCAGUGAGAAGAAAAUUUCAGCUCAAUUGGAGGAUGUAAAGAUUGAAAUACCACUGCUCCUAGUUCUGAUGCAAAAUUGAAAAGAGUGCACUGGGUCUUCAAAUGGCAUAUUGACAAGGAGAAAGAGGAAAGGAUGCCCCAGGACAGCCUGGGGGUCAAGGCUGGGCUCAGGCAUGCCUGGACAAGCCAUGCAAGUUGUCUCCGGACUUGAACCACGUAUCAGAGGAGCUAUUUGAGGAGCCACAUCAGCAUACCUGCUUCUGUGGGCCCCCAGGCUGUGGUGCUCAGCCCUUGCACUAUGAAACAUUUUUUUUUUCCAGAAGCCAAAGCUUUGAGCAUCUCCUCCCAUGUAGAGAGUGUAUAUGUUUACGUCCAUGUCUUUCGCCAUGUGAACGCAUGCAACCACCACCUCAAAUAUCAUAAAUCCUCUCUCUCCCCCUUUCUGUCUGCCUGUUUAUCUACAAUCUGUCUAUUUAAAUUCUUUUUAAACAAGAAGGGAAUAUCUUUAUGCCUGUUUGUAGGGAUAUUCUACAUCCAUCUGUUAUUUACAUCAUUCGUUUUCCUGAGGUGUCUCCAACAAAUCCUGGCUGGAUGCACUGUAUGUGUUAUUAAUAAAACAGCUGUAAAAAUA
rnacentral:lncRNA from 1 species